UUAAAAAGCUCGUAGUUGAACCUUGGACCUGGCUGAUCUGUCCUCCUAAUCGAGCGCACGGAUUCGGUCGGGUCUUUCCUUCUGGGGAGCCCUAUGCCCUUCACUGGGUGUAGUGGGGAACCAGGACUUUUACCUUGAAAAAAUUAGAGUGUUCAAAGCAGGCCUUUGCUCGAAUACAUUAGCAUGGAAUAAUAGAAAAGGACAUCGGUUCUAUUUUGUUGGUUUCUAGGACCGCUGUAAUGAUUAAUAGGGAUAGUCGGGGG
rnacentral:rRNA from 1 species